rnacentral:rRNA from 1 species
UGAAUACGAGACGCUAAGGCGUCGAAGUAGUGUAUGUCAUACUUCCAAGAAAAGCUUGCACUGUCAUAGAUAAAAAACGCCUGUACCAUAACCGACACAGGUGGGUAGGUAGAGUAUACUAAGGGGCGCGAGAUAACUCUCUCUAAGGAACUCGGCAAAAUAACUCCGUAACUUCGGGAGAAGGAGUGCCUUAUUCGUAAGGUUGCAAUAACAAGAUCCAAGCAACUGUUUAUCAAAAACACAGGUCUCCGCUAAGUCGUAAGACGAUGUAUGGGGGCUGACGCCUGCCCAGUGCCAGAAGGUUAAAGAAGUUGGUUAGCAAUUGCGAAGCUGAUAACUGAAGCCCUGGUGAACGGCGGCCGUAACAAUAACGGUCCUAAGGUAGCGAAAUUCCUUGUCGGGUAAGUUCCGACCCGCACGAAAGGCGUAAUGAUUUGGAUACUGUCUCGGAGAGGGGCUCGGUGAAAUAGACUUGUCUGUGAAGAUGCGGACUACCUGCACCAGGACAGAAAGACCCUAUGAAGCUUUACUGUAACUUGAAAUUGAAAUUGGACUUUAUUCGCGCAGUAUAGGUGGGAGGCGUUGAUUAUAAUCUUGUGGGAUUAUUGGAGCCAUCAGUGAGAUACCACUCUUGUAAUGUUAGAUUUCUAACUUUGAAUCAUUAUCUGGUCAAAGAACAGUUUCAGGCGGGCAGUUUGACUGGGGCGGUCGCCUCCUAAACGGUAACGGAGGCGUACAAAGGUUUCCUCUGAACGGUUAGAAAUCGUAUCUAGAGUGUAAAGGCAUAAGGAAGCUUGACUGUGAGACCUACAAGUCGAGCAGGGACGAAAGUCGGUCUUAGUGAUCUGACGGUACUGAGUGGAAAGGCCGUCACUCAACGGAUAAAAGUUACUCUAGGAUAACAGGCUGAUCUCCCCCAAGAGUUCACAUCGACGGGGAGGUUUGGCACCUCGAUGUCGGCUCAUCGCAUCCUGGGGCGGUAGUACGUCCCAAGGGUUGGGCUGUUCGCCCAUGAAAGCGGUACGCGAGCUGGGUUCAGAACGUCGUGAGACAGUUCGGUCCAUAUCCGGUGUAGGCGUUAGAAUAUUGAGAGGAGCCUUCUUUAGUACGAGAGGACCGAGAAGGACAUACCUCUGGUGUACCAGUUAUCGUGCCAACGGUAAACGCUGGGUAGCUAUGUAUGGAGUGGAUAACCGCUGAAAGCAUCUAAGUGGGAAGCCCACCUCAAAGUAAGUAUUCUC